rnacentral:rRNA from 1 species
AGAGUUUGAUCCUGGCUCAGGAUAAACGCUGGCGGCGUGCUUUAUGCAUGCAAGUCGUACGAUCUGAUUGCCCGCAAGGGUGUAUCAGGGAGUGGCAGACGGCUGAGUAAUACGUAGGUGACCUGCCCUUAAGUGGGGAAUAACCUUGAGAAAUCGGGGCUAAUUCCGGCAAUGUGAUAGUGAAGGUGAUACUUGACUAUUAAAGCUUCGAGCAAUCGGAGCGCUUGAGGAUGGGCUUACGUCCUAUCAGGUAGUUGGUGAGGUAAUGGCCCACCAAGCCGAUGACGGGUAGCUGGUCUGAGAGGAUGAUCAGCCAGACGGGGACUGAGACACGGCCCUGACUCCUACGGGAGGCAGCAGCAAGGAAUUUUGUGCAAUGGGCGAAAGCCUGACACAGCGACGUCGCGUGGGGGAUGAAGGCCUUCGGGUUGUAAACCCCUUUUCUCAGGGAGGAAUAAUGACAGUACCUGAGGAAUAAGCCAUGGCUAACUACGUGCCAGCAGCCGCGGUAAAACGUAGGUGGCGAGCGUUAUCCGGAUUUAUUGGGCGUAAAGAGGGCGCAGGCGGAUUUUCAAGUCGGAUGUAAAAUCUCCCAGCUUAACUGGGAGGGAUCAUUCGAUACUGUGAGGCUAGAGGACAACAGAGGGGGGUAGAAUUCCCGGUGUAGUGGUGAAAUGCGUAGAUAUCGGGAGGAAUACCAGUGGCGAAGGCGACCCCCUGGGUUGUUUCUGACGCUUAAGCCCGAAGGCGUGGGGAGCAAACAGGAUUAGAUACCCUGGUAGUCC